AGCAUGCGGAUUAAUUCGAUGUAACGGGAAGAUCCUUACCAAGACUUGGCAUAUACGAGAACGGGCCAGAAAUGGUCAACUCUUUGGACAAUCGUAAACAGGUGGUGCAUGGUUGUCGUCAGCUCGUGUCGUGAGAUGGUGGGUUAAGUCCCGCAACGAGCGCAACCCUCGUU
rnacentral:rRNA from 1 species